CAAAAUACGCGCAUUGAGUUGGUUAUUAUUUUGUUAAACCGACAAGCUAAAGGGAAUUCUUGAAAGAACUUCCGAUAGAAUCCAAAACGAAAAUAACAGAACUUUAUAAAACAAAAGGCAAAUGGAAGUCUUACAAAUUAACAUUGGUGGCUACAUAUUCCAUGGCCAUGGAUUUCCACUCCCAUUAUGUCACAAUUUAUUAUUCAAAUAAAAAGAAAGACCAAAAAAAGAAAAAGAAAAAAAAAAGGAUCCUUAAAGGUAACUACAAACACAAAAUGAAGCAAAAACACAGGGUUUUAUGGAAUCCACAUACACCAUUUGAUCAUAUAUGGUAAUAACUAACUACUCAGGUAGAUUUUCCCGGUGGCAGUGACUUCUUAGCGGCGGUCGCCGGAGAAGGGAUUUGCCUGCCUUGGUGUUGUUGGUUGGUGGUGGAAAUAGUGGUGCUUUUGGUGGUUCCAACUUGAUCAGCAACUUGUUGGGUCAGGUCAAGUGACUUUGCGAGGUCUUCGCCGGCGAGAAUCUCCGGCGGCAGGACCUGGGAAGCUUGCCGGCGAUGGCGGGACAUGUUUUUGUGUGCGUGACUCUGUUUCUUUGUUUGGGUAGAGAGAGAAAUUAACACACAACACAAGUGAAGUGAAGGUGGGAAGUGAUGAAGAAACAAAGAAUUUGAAGUGAUGUAUGGAAGUGGGGGUUUGUAUGGAACUAUAUAUGGACAGAACAAUUCUACCUACGCGCUUUGCAUUACGUGACCAUUCAAUUUGAAGCCAAACCUUUUUCUUUCAAGGGUAAAUAAAAUGUAUUUGUCUUUUUAAAAUUAAGAACCUCAUUAAAACGUACUA
rnacentral:lncRNA from 1 species